ensembl:lncRNA
AUGGCAAGCCUGUCAAGGGGAAGAGAGAGUGAAAGGAACUUUGAGGGUAACGUUGUCAAGGAAGAAAGAAAAAGAAAGAAAAUGUCAAAGUGGAGAGAGCCUUUUGGGAUCAGUUGGCAGGGAAGCUGCAGAAUGUUUCCUGAAUUUGACGCUGGUUUUAUCUGUCUCCAUCAAAGGAAAUUUUGUCAUGGAAUAUUGGAGGCAGAAGAGACUUUAAUGAUGAUUUAUUCUAAACCCUUCAUUUUAUAGAUGCAGAAAUUGAGGUUCAAAGGUAUAUUGUCCUGAAGGUGAUCCAGUCCUAGAACUCAGAUCUCCUGACUUCAAAUUGAGGAUUUGGUCACCUAUCAGUGAAAGGGCAUAAUCUCAUUCUUGAAUUUUUGUAACUUUU